rnacentral:rRNA from 1 species
AGAGUUUGAUCCUGGCUCAGAUUGAACGCUAGCGGAAUGCCUUACACAUGCAAGUCGGACGGCAGCGCGGGCUUCGGCCUGGCGGCGAGUGGCGAACGGGUGAGUAAUGCAUCGGAACGUACCCAGUAGUGGGGGAUAACCGCUCGAAAGAGUGGCUAAUACCGCAUACGUCCACGGGAGAAAGCGGGGGACCUUCGGGCCUCGCGCUAUUGGAGCGGCCGAUGUCGGAUUAGCUAGUUGGUGGGGUAAAGGCCUACCAAGGCGACGAUCCGUAGCUGGUCUGAGAGGACGGCCAGCCACACUGGGACAUGACGACACGGCCCAGACUCCUACGGGAGGCAGCAGUGGGGAAUCUUGGACAAUGGGGGAAACCCUGAUCCAGCCAUUCCGCGUGUGCGAUGAAGGCCUUCGGGUUGUAAAGCACUUUUGGCGGGGAAGAAAUUGCGCGGGCA